rnacentral:rRNA from 1 species
CUCUUUCCGUUUGUUUGGAAAGUAUAACCUGCCCACUGAAUUAUUUGAAGGGCCGCGGUAAUUUGACCGUGCAAAGGUAGCAUAAUCAUUAGUCUCUUAAUUAGAGGCUGGAAUGAAUGGUUGGACGAGAUAUGCACUGUCUUAAAAUUUUAUUUAGAAUUUAAUUAUUAAGUAAGAAAGCUUAAAUUUAAUUAUGGGACGAGAAGACCCUAUAGAGUUUAAUAAUCAAUUUUAUUAAUAUUUGUUUGUAUAUUUAAUUAUAUUUUUGAUUUAUUUUGUUGGGGUGAUGAAAAGAUAUAAUAAACUCUUUUUUUUUGUUUAUAUAUUGAUAUAUAGAAUUUUGAUCCAUUUAUAGUGAUUAUAAGACUAAAUUACC